CCCUAUUUUAAGCCCUUGGUUAAAAAAUCUUAUCAAACAGUUUGAACAGUUUCAAACAGAGUAAAGACAAAAACUUAUCACUUUCACAUGGAAUGUGAGGCGGAUUUUUUUUUUUUCACAAUGUCAUUUUCGAAGUGUGUUUGUCUCAUCUGGCAGUGUAGUGAAAUGUGUCCUGGGAUUUUCGAACUUUUUAUGGAAAAUACGACCCCGACAUUCUGCUGCAAAUCAAUCAAGCUGAGAAUGAGAAAAGUGAACGAACUAAAAUCCCAAUUGGCCGCACAGCAGUCACUUUUCACACAAUAUAGUUCAACAGUGAAAGCCGCCACCGAAGCAUCUUUCCGUCUUCGUCACAUCAUCGUUAAUAAUAAGAAGUCCUUCCAAGACGGAGAGAUAGUAAAAGAGGCAUAGUUGACUCGUUGUUCCGAUCUUUUAAAACUAAGGCGGAAAUAUUAUCUUUGAUAAAAUCCCUGCAGCUGUAAAGGAGUACAGUUACAAGGCGGUGCGAAGCCAUGGCUGAGAAUUUAUGUGGAAGGACAUCGCAGAUUGUGAGUGUUUCUCACUGCAGUUGGGCGAAUCCACUGACUGAAACUAUGCGUGGGAUAACCACAGUGCCGUCAGCCUUAAUGCUGUGGAUUAACAGCACGCUGAUUUUCAGCAGAGGCAAAGGAGUAGUGGCCUCUGUGACCCACGAGAGCUCGUGGCGUCUGAAGUGCAUCGCUACCGAUCCUUCUCUCCCCACUAAGGAGCAUCUGCAAGAGGAGGCACGUCUUUGAUUGACAGCUGAAAGUUUUGGCAAGGUGGCAUUUUGAGAGCAUUUAGCAACAUGCCCAAAGCAUCUGGAGGAUGAAAGAUCAAGAUUCUAGAUCAUUUUGAAGCCUGAUUUCACACCCCCCCUACACUUUUUCUUUUUUUUUUUUUUAAUCCAUGCAUGCAUUGUCCACUUUAUUAAAGCUUUUCUGUUGUGUCAAAUUUGCAGUACAAUUUUGGUGACAUUUGGUUGUACUUUAUUCAUUUAUCAUUUAAAAAAGAAAAAUGCGUUUUGUUUUUUUUUUUGGUUUGUGUUUUGGGUCAAAAUACAAAGACUCGCACUUUUUUGCUCGUCAUGUAUUGCAAAUGUCGCUGCAGCCUAUCCCCACUUACUUUGGACAAAAGACAAACUACACUUUGAACUGGUCGCCAGUCAGUCGCAGGGGACAUACAGAAACAGACAACCAUUCAGACUCACAUGCUCACCGUCUUUGAGUGGUAACCGAAUCCACGGCUGCUUGCACUGAAAUCAGAUGAAUGUACCGCCAUAUUAUCAGUAAUUAGUGCUAUUUUAAUUUUUUGUUACAUUUUUAACCAAAACAUAAAAUAAAUGAUUUUUUUCUUC